UAUGAGCGUUAACGAUAGAAACGGCAUCCUUUUUUUGCUUCUUGCCAUGAUGCAAAUAGCAAAAAAAGAUAUAGUGAAUAGCGUGUUAAAAC
rnacentral:sRNA from 1 species